CUUACACAUGCAAGUCGAACGCGUGUAGCAAUACACGAGUGGCGCACGGGUGAGUAACGCGUGGAUAUCUGCCUUUUGGUUCGGAAUAACCCCGGGAAACUGGGGCUAAUACCGGAUGGUUCCUUCGGGAUAAAGAUUUAUCGCCAAAAGAUGAGUCCGCGUACGAUUAGCUAGUUGGUGAGGUAAUGGCUCACCAAGGCGACGAUCGUUAGCUGGUCUGAGAGGACGAUCAGCCACACCGGGACUGAGACACGGCCCAGACUCCUACGGGAGGCAGCAGUGGGGAAUAUUGGACAAUGGGGGCAACCCUGAUCCAGCCAUGCCGCGUGAGUGAUGAAGGCCUUCGGGUUGUAAAGCUCUUUUGGCGGGGACGAUGAUGACGGUACCCGCAGAAUAAGCCCCGGCUAACUUCGUGCCAGCAGCCGCGGUAAGACGAAGGGGGCUAGCGUUGUUCGGAAUUACUGGGCGUAAAGCGAGUGUAGGCGGUUGCCCAAGUCAGGUGUGAAAGCCUUGAGCUCAACUCAAGAAAUGCACUUGGUACUGGGUGGCUANAGGACCGGAGAGGAUAG
rnacentral:rRNA from 1 species